rnacentral:rRNA from 1 species
AUUGAACGCUGGCGGCAGGCUUAACACAUGCAAGUCGAACGAGUGGCGGACGGGUGAGUAAUGCAUGGGAAUGUAGCUUAUGGAGGGGGAUAACUACGGGAAACUGUAGCUAAUACCGCGUACCAUAGGAUGAGCCCAAGUGGGAUUAGGUAGUUGGUGAGGUAAAGGCUCACCAAGCCGACGAUCUGUAGCUGGUCUGAGAGGAGGACCAGCCACACUGGGACUGAGACACGGCCCAGACUCCUACGGGAGGCAGCAGUGGGGAAUAUUGCACAAUGGGGGAAACCCUGACGCAGCCAUGCCGCGUGUAUGAAGAAGGCCUUCGGGUUGUAAAGUACUUUCAGUGGGGAGGCGUUACCGGCAGAAGAAGCACCGGCUAACUCCGUGCCAGCAGCCGCGGUAAUAC